rnacentral:lncRNA from 1 species
AGACCAUUUUGAGUUCCACUAAUCUCCAUGGGAUGAAACUGAAUUGCAACUGAAUUGCCAGGCAUCCUUUUUUCUUUUCUUUUCUUUUCUUUUCUUUUCUUUUCUUUUCUUUUCUUUUCUUUUCUUUUCUUUUCUUUUCUUUUCUUUUCUUUUCUUUUCUUUUCUUUUCUUUUCUUUUCUCUUUCCUUUCCUUUCCUUUCCUUUCCUUUCCUUUCCUUUCCUUUCCUUUCCUUUCCUUUCCUUUCCUUUCCUUUCCUUUCCUUUCCUUUCCUUUCCUUUCCUCUUUCCUUUCCUCCUUUCCUUUCCCUUUCCUUUCCCUUUCCUUUCCUUUCCUUUCCUUUCCUUCCCCUUCCCCUUCCCCUUCCCCUUCCCCUUUUCCCUUCCCCUUUUCCCUUCCCCUUUUCCCUUCCCCUUUUCCCUUCCCCUUUUCCCUUCCCUUCCCUUCCCUUACCCUUUCCUUUCCUUUCCUUUCCUUUCCUUUCCUUUCCUUUCCUUUCCUUUCCUUUCCUUUCCUUUCCUUUCCUUUCCUUUCCUUUCCUUUCCUUUCCUUUCCUUUCCUUUCCUUUCCUUUCCUUUCCUUUCCUUUCCUUUCCUUUCCUUUCCUUUCCUUUCCUUUCCUUUCCUUUCCUUUCCUUUCCUUUCCUUUCCUUUCCUUUCCUUUCCUUUCCUUUCCUUUCCUUUCCUUUCCUUUCCUUUCCUUUCCUUUCCUUUCCUUUCCUUUCCUUUCCUUUCCUUUCCUUUCCUUUCCUUUCCUUUCCUUUCCUUUCCUUUCCUUUCCUUUCCUUUCCUUUCCUUUCCUUUCCUUUCUCCUUUCCUUUCCUUUUUUUUUUUUAAGUUACUUAUAGAUGUCAAACUGUUAGAAAAUUAGAGUAUUUAUUUAUUUUUAACAUAUUUACAGACCAUCAAGAUCUCUUCUGAUAUCAAGUUUGUAAUUUGGUCUAAAAAUGGCAUUUCCAGUAACAGGUAAAUUUGAUUGCCUAAGGUUUGAAGUAUUUGAACUACGGUUUCCCCCUCACUGUUUGAAGCAUUAC